rnacentral:rRNA from 1 species
AACGAACGCUGGCGGCAUGCCUAACACAUGCAAGUCGGACGAAGCCUUCGGGCUUAGUGGCGCACGGGUGCGUAACGCGUGGGAAUCUGCCCUUAGGUACGGAAUAACUCAGGGAAACUUGUGCUAAUACCGUAUGAUGUCGAGAGACCAAAGAUUUAUCGCCUAGGGAUGAGCCCGCGUAGGAUUAGCUAGUUGGUGGGUAAAGGCCUACCAAGGCGACGAUCCUUAGCUGGUCUGAGAGGAUGAUCAGCCACACUGGGACUGAGACACGGCCCAGACUCCUACGGGAGGCAGCAGUGGGGAAUAUUGGACAAUAGGGCGAAAGCCUGAUCCAGCAAUGCCGCGUGAGUGAAGAAGGCCUCGGUU